AUGGAAGGAGUAUGGUUGCACUCUCAUGUCCGACGGUUGGACAGACAUGAGUGGGCACACUUGAUCAAUUUUCUCGCCAAUAGUCCUGAAGGUACAUUCUUCUUAGGGACAGCCAAUGUUUCUUCUGAGUCUGUUACUGCUGAAUUGGUAGCAAAAUUAUUGAGUGAACAGAUUGAGGCAAUUGGGCCUGAAUUGGUAAUCCAGGUCGUUAGCGACAAUGGCUCCAACUACAAGGCAGCCGGGAGAUUUCUAAUGGAUAAGUAUCGAUCUUUGUAUUGGACACCUUGUGCUGCUCACUGUUUGGAUGUUAUGCUAGAGGACAUUGGGAAGAUAAGAGAGUUCAGUGAUUGCAUUGUUAAAGCAAAGAAAACAACCAGAUUUAUUUAUGCCCAUGGUAGGAUUCUCGAUCAAAUGAGAACCUUGAAUGGCAAGAGAGAUCUUGUAAGGCAUGGAGCAACUCGUUUUGCAACCUCCUUCCUCACAUUGGCCAGCAUGUGGAAACAACGCCAACAUUUGAAAGCACUAUUUGUUAGCAUAGUUCAAAAAAGCGCUAGGCGUAAAUUGUGCGUUUUGCCACCGCCUUGCGCUUUACUGACCAAAGCGUAUGCUUAUGCGCAAUUAUGCGCAGAUUAA
rnacentral:rRNA from 1 species